UGUCCUACGGGUGGCAGCAGUGGGGAAUCUUGCGCAAUGGGCGAAAGCCUGACGCAGCCAUGCCGCGUGAAUGAUGAAGGUCUUAGGAUUGUAAAAUUCUUUCACCGGGGACGAUAAUGACGGUACCCGGAGAAGAAGCCCCGGCUAACUUCGUGCCAGCAGCCGCGGUAAUACGAAGGGGGCUAGCGUUGCUCGGAAUUACUGGGCGUAAAGGGAGCGUAGGCGGACAUUUAAGUCAGGGGUGAAAUCCCGGGGCUCAACCUCGGAAUUGCCUUUGAUACUGGGUGUCUUGAGUAUGAGAGAGGUGUGUGGAACUCCGAGUGUAGAGGUGAAAUUCGUAGAUAUUCGGAAGAACACCAGUGGCGAAGGCGACACACUGGCUCAUUACUGACGCUGAGGCUCGAAAGCGUGGGGAGCAAACAGGAUUAGAUACCCCAGUAGUCC
rnacentral:rRNA from 1 species